rnacentral:misc_RNA from 1 species
AACCAAACCAAUCUAUAUAAUGAAAUUAAAUAGAAUUGAAUUGAACCAAAAAUGAAAGCAUUUCAGCUCCAAUUCAUGAAAGCAAAUCACAAUGAUAACCGAGAAUUGAAGGCUGAGACGAUGGCAGUGAGCACCAGUUGGACGGUGAGAAUGCUGGACUUAAUGAGAACCAAGAUUUCCGUUGACGAUGCUGGGCUCUCUCUCCCUUUCUUGUUGAUCAGUGAUGAAAAAUCAAACUAAAUCUCAUGUUAUCUUCUCACGUUAUCUUUCAGAGAUUCAUGCAGUCUAUAUAUGUCAGAAGGAGGAAAUUAGAUAUCUAAGCGCAAAAUGUCAAGAAAGUAGAUGUUAAACGAUCCAACCAACAGGCUAUGCGAAGAGAAAAUAGUUGGCGGGAGAGGGCAGAAGAGCACAAAUAUGACGUGGUUUUGAAGUGGUACAAAGGUACAACUAGGGGUAUGACUAGAGGUGAGUAAUCGGUUGGGUCAAUUUUUAAAACCAAACCGAUCAAAUCAAAUUCUAUAAAAUAUAACUGAAUCAAAUCAAACUAAAUUAAUUCGAGUUAUUUCUUUCAGUAAGUCGAUUUCAAAAGGAACCAGGUUUGAUACAAAUUCAAGACCAUUUUUCUUUCAAUUCUCAAAUGUAAUCAAUGAAAAAAAUAAAAUA